UUAUAUCUGGUCAACAGAAGGUCUAGUACCAGCUAUUCUAGAGAUAAGCAAACAUGUUGAACAUAGGUUGUGUGUUAAACACUUGUAUGGCAAUUGGAGGAAGAAAUAUCUUAGGAUACAUAUGAAGGAAGCUUUAUGGAGGGAAGCUAGGACCACAACAAUACCUGGAUGGGAAAGAGCAAUAUACUUCAUGAUAGAGCUCAAUGAGAAUGCUUGGAAAGACAUAAUGUUUGUACCUGCUGCAUGUUGGAGUAGAUCGCAUUUCAAGACAAACAAAUAAUACAAUUUGUAAGUCAACAACAUGUGCGAAGCUUUUAAUCGAGCGAUAUUGGAAUAUAAAGACAUGCCAAUCAU